AGCAAGAGGAGUUUCCUUUCUUUCUUUUUGUAAUACCCACUAUUCUAAGAGUGCCAGGCAUCCCUUCAGACUCUACUUGACUCCUUUCACCCUCAAUGAUUUACUUUAAAUCUCUUAAAUAGGUUCAGUGCCAUCUGGCUACUCUCCCUCCCACUCCGAUUUUCACUUCUCUUUCAAUUAAGAGCAAAGACAUCAGUAUUGUUGCUACAGGAAAAGGAAGGGCAGAGAUAAGGGCAGAAUGAACUUAUUUGUUCAAUAUGCUAGUAAAUAUGGUAUUUUCAUUAUGCUGAGUUAGUUUUGGCUUGGAUUUGUCAAACACAGUCUCUUGCAGUGACAGAAGUCAAACUGAAAUAGCAUUUUAAAAAGACAAAAGUGAAGGCUGGUCCUUAAGUAUACUAGGAUGCUUCAGAAGAUAAGAGCCUUUGAAACAAGCACACCUGCUGAGACUGGAUAUAAAUGUAUCUCUCUGUUCCUCACCCCAAAUUUCCAAACUCAUUUUUAUUGCUCCCCUUCACUCCACUGUUUUUCUCAAUUUUUUCCAAAAGGCAGAAGACACUUCCUCAGCCACCCUAGUCUCACUCACACCCUCAUAAAAAGAAGUAUGUGCAAGCUGCUGAAAAUCUCAGAAAACAUUGGCUCAGCUCAGGCCACUUCCCCACUUUUGGACCAAUCACUAUAGUCCAGGAGAGCAGUUAUAUUGGCUGUGUUGUUUAGUCACGAAGUCCUGUCCGCCUCUUUUGAGACCCCAGGGACUGAAGGCCCACCCAGGGCGAUGGUUGUGCAAAAAUCAGGCCAGAGGAUGCCUAACUUGUAGCUGCCAAGUUGUUUGCCAGCCCUUGUAUCAGAGCCUCCUUACCAGUCAGGAAGACACAACAGACUUUUGCCUACCUGCUGUCCUACCUACCUUCAAAACAGAAACAGCAGAAAAACAACAGUUCUUAACAAUGAUUGAGGGAAGUAUUCACAGGCUAUUUUAGCUACUUGACUAGUGGGAUAGGGUAAGAUUAGUGUUCUGAUUGGUUGAUGUCGGGCAGGCAUUGGAUAAUCAGAGUCAAAUUGGCAGGCCUACUUAUGUUUGUGCUGCUUUGUGCUUAGUCGCUCAGUCGUGUCUGACUCUGCGACCCCAUGGACUGUAGCCUGCCAGGCUCCUGUGUCUAUGAGGAUUCUCCGGGCAAGAAUACUGGACUGGGUUGCCAUGCCCUCCUCCAGGGACUUUUACCUAUAUUCUGCUAUAAUCAUUCCUCCAAUCAGAUCCGGUUGUUUGAAAACUUUAUUUGAAUAUGUGUGUGUUACUUCACUUCAGUCGCGGGAGACCUGGGUUCGAUCCUUGUGUUGGAAGAUCCCCUAGAGAAGGGAAUGGAUACACACCCCGCAUUCAGACCUGGAGAAUUCCAUGGACAGAGGAGCCUGGCAGGCUACAGCCCAUGGGGUCACAAAAAGUCGGACACCACUGAGCGACUUUCACUUUCACUUAAACCAAGUUUGCUUCAAGUCCAGCUGUUAUAGUGAGGUCAAGUCUUCUGCGCAACACCGGAAGUUGUAGAAUUAGGUGCCUCUAGUACGCCUCGAGGACUGUAAGGCUGUUGGGCUGUUUCACUAAGAGCCAGAGGCUUUCUUUAUUCAGAGCCACUUGAAGUUCUUUUGUCAAAGGAAUGUUUCUUGUUUACUGACCUUCUAGGACACCAGCUGGAAAUUGAUUUACAGGAGCCUAGGUGUUGCCUCUGAGCCAUCCCAAGAGUGCCUUCUACAUUUCAGGGAAUCGCCAAAAGAGCUAUUAUUACAGGAUAAAACAUUCCUGCAAAGCUUUGAAGACUUGAAUAAAACCAGCUGGUGGAUUAAGAUGCCAGAAGGAAUAAGUAGUUACCAGCUGGGGCCUCUUGGGCAUAAAGUCCUCUCCAACCUGUGAUGCUUCUGGGUGCACGUCACCAUGCCUGCCAAGGCUUAUGCUCAGGGAAAAUGGGGAUAUCCAUUUAGAGAAAGGGCUCUGCACUACCUCAUCCAUGACGGCCACCUCAUCAGCAAGAAGAACCAAUACAGUGGCUCCAUCACACAAGGAUUGGCCAUGCUGCACUCCCGGCCCAGAGCCCAGGACCUGGACUGUGCUGAGAGCAGGUGGCAGAGCUGUUGGGCACGCAGAGCAUCUGGAUGCCCAGUUUACUCUGGACACCUUCCACAUGUGGAAGAAAAGCCAAGUCUCUUCUUCCAGCCCCACAGACUAGCCAGCAGGGGUCCCUGUGCCUAUGUGGUGCUGCCCUUCUGCCUUGCUGGCUUCCCUGCUCACUCGUCCUGGGCUGUGGGCCUGAAAAGUCAGGGGGAGAGACUACCUGCACCGUGUUUUUUUGUUUUUGUUUUUGUUUUUUAAGAAACUAUAUACAUUUGCAACCUUUUCUCCAGGUCUUCAUAAAAAGCACGUUAUGAAACAACCUAGGUUGAACAGCUUUGAUGCCCCCUCCCCUGCCCCCAGUUGUCUGGACCUAAUCACAAAGAGGGGUGAGGCUAAGCCUUGCUGGGUGGAGGUGGGGGCGAAAUCAAAGGCUGGCUCCUCUGAUUGCUGCCCGCAUGCAUCAAAUGGGCCAGCCACUUCCUUGACUUUCCUGGGGAGGGAGUGUUAAGCUAAUUAAUGCUCCUUCUCUACAGGUGACUGGCAUUAAAGCUGUGUAAGUGCUUUUACCAGACUGACUGCUCUGGGCUCCUGGGGCUCCUGAUUGUAGUAAAAUAACCCCUUUUCUGGAGUGGGGCCUUGCUCCCUCCACCUCUCCACAGGAUGAUCUCACCACAGAGGGAAUGCUGGAGGAUCCUGGGCUCUCUCACUCAGUUAAUUCCA